GACGAACGCUGGCGGCGUGCUUAACACAUGCAAGUCGAACGGUGAAAGCGGAGCUUGCUCCGCUGGAUCAGUGGCGAACGGGUGAGUAACACGUGGGCAACCUGCCCCUCACUUCGGGAUAACUCCGGGAAACCGGGGCUAAUACCGGAUAUGACCUCCUUGGGCAUCCUUGGAGGUGGAAAGUUUUUCGGUGAGGGAUGGGCCCGCGGCCUAUCAGCUUGUUGGUGAGGUAGUGGCUCACCAAGGCGACGACGGGUAGCCGGCCUGAGAGGGCGACCGGCCACACUGGGACUGAGACACGGCCCAGACUCCUACGGGAGGCAGCAGUGGGGAAUAUUGCGCAAUGGGCGAAAGCCUGACGCAGCAACGCCGCGUGUGGGAUGACGGCCUUCGGGUUGUAAACCGCUUUCAGCAGGGAAGAAGCCGCAAGGUGACGGUACCUGCAGAAGAAGCACGGCUAACUACGUGCCAGCCGCCGCAGUAA
rnacentral:rRNA from 1 species